AGGGAACAUUUUUUGGUGAAGGAAUUAGCCACGUUGAGGCAAAAGAUUAUGAUUAUCGAGGGCGUGGACAAUUUCCUGGAGUUUUUACAGUUCAACCGAGUCUGGAUACCUAUGACAAGGGGAAAGACGAAGCAGAAGAAGAGACAGAUAAUGGAGAGCACCAG